GUUCAAUUGGCGCAGCGGUUAGCGCGGCAGAUUGCAAUUACAAUUGUAAUACAUCUGUAGGUCCUUGGUUCAAUUCCGAGAUUGAACU
rnacentral:tRNA from 2 species